rnacentral:tRNA from 1 species
GCUACGGUGGUCUAGCUGUUAGAACGCUGGCCUUGUAAUCCUGGGGUCUCGGGUUCGAUUCCCGGCGAUACCC